GGAGGGAUCAUUACCGAUAUGAUGGCGGGCUGGAACCUCUCGGGGUUACAGCCUUGCUGAAUUAUUCACCCUUGUCUUUUGCGUACUUCUUGUUUCCUUGGUGGGUUCGCCCACCACUAGGACAAACAUAAACCUUUUGUAAUUGCAAUCAGCGUCAGUAACAAAUUAAUAAUUACAACUUUCAACAACGGAUCUCUUGGUUCUGGCAUCGAUGAAGAACGCAGCGAAAUGCGAUAAGUAGUGUGAAUUGCAGAAUUCAGUGAAUCAUCGAAUCUUUGAACGCACAUUGCGCCCUUUGGUAUUCCAAAGGGCAUGCCUGUUCGAGCGUCAUUUGUACCCUCAAGCUUUGCUUGGUGUUGGGCGUCUUGUCUCUAGCUUUGCUGGAGACUCGCCUUAAAGUAAUUGGCAGCCGGCCUACUGGUUUCGGAGCGCAGCACAAGUCGCACUCUCUAUCAGCAAAGGUCUAGCAUCCAUUAAGCCUUUUUUUCAACUUUUGACCUCGGAUCAGGUAGGGAUACCCGCUGAACAUAAGCAUAUCAAUAAGCGGGAGGGAAAAAA
rnacentral:rRNA from 1 species